rnacentral:rRNA from 1 species
GAUCCUGGCUCAGGACGAACGCCGGCGGCGUGCUUAACACAUGCAAGUCGAACGAAGAGCGGUGGAAGCUUGCUUCUAUCAAUCUUAGUGGCGAACGGGUGAGUAACGCGUAAUCAACCUGCCCUUCAGAGGGGGACAACAGUUGGAAACGACUGCUAAUACCGCAUACGAUCCAAUCUCGGCAUCGAGACUGGAUGAAAGGUGGCCUCUAUUUAUAAGCUAUCACUGAAGGAGGGGAUUG